rnacentral:rRNA from 1 species
AACGCGAAGAACCUUACCAAGUCUUGACAUCCUCUGGCGAGUACAGAAAUGUGCUUUUCCUUCGGGACAGAGAGACAGGUGGUGCAUGGUUGUCGUCAGCUCGUGUCGUGAGAUGUUGGGUUAAGUCCCGCAACGAGCGCAACCCUUAUGGAUAGUUACUACGCAAGAGGACUCUAUUCAGACUGCCGUUGACAAAACGGAGGAAGGUGGGGAUGACGUCAAAUCAUCAUGCCCUUUAUGACUUGGGCUACACACGUACUACAAUGGCGUUCAACAAAGAGAAGCGAAGCCGCGAGGCAGAGCAAAACUCAAAAACAACGUCCCAGUUCAGAUUGCAGGCUGCAACUCGCCUGCAUGAAGUCGGAAUUGCUAGUAAUCGCAGAUCAGCAUGCUGCGGUGAAUACGUUCCCGGGUCUUGUACACACCG